rnacentral:rRNA from 1 species
UACGUAGGGCGCAAGCGUUGUCCGGAAUCAUUGGGCGUAAAGAGCUCGUAGGUGGUCUGUUACGUCUGCUGUGAAAUCCUAGGGCUUAACCCUGGGCCUGCAGUGGAUACGGGCAGACUAGAGGUAGGUAGGGGAGAAUGGAAUUCCCGGUGUAGCGGUGAAAUGCGCAGAUAUCGGGAGGAACACCGGUGGCGAAGGCGGUUCUCUGGGCCGAUACUGACGCUGAGGAGCGAAAGCGUGGGGAGCGAACAGG